rnacentral:rRNA from 1 species
GUCCUACGGGACGCAGCAGUGAGGGAUAUUGGUCAAUGGGGGAAACCCUGAACCAGCAACGCCGCGUGAGGGAAGACGGUUUUCGGAUUGUAAACCUCUGUCCUCUGUGAAGAUAAUGACGGUAGCAGAGGAGGAAGCUCCGGCUAACUACGUGCCAGCAGCCGCGGUAAUACGUAGGGAGCAAGCGUUGUCCGGAUUUACUGGGUGUAAAGGGUGCGUAGGCGGCUGUGCAAGUCAGUAGUGAAAUCCAUGGGCUUAACCCAUGGACUGCUAUUGAAACCGCACAGCUUGAGUGAAGUAGAGGU